UUCAAUUCAAUCAUUUUCGCUAUAUUCCUAGAAGGUACUCCUUCACUGACCAAAAUAUCAAUGUUAGAUCGCAGAGUACCCUUGGAACUAUAAGUUAGAAGCCACGUAUAACGACAAAUAGCAGCAGUUACAUUUUCAUCCGUUUCAAGCAUUUCCUUUAUGAGACGAAAGGAUGGUUUCAACUGAGAAUCUAAGCUCCUGAGAAGAAUCCCAGGGCUUGAUAGAAUUACCUUAGGAAGUAAAGAACCGACGAUCCCGUUUUCCUGGAGGAACUCAAAUUUAGGCUUCAGAUUGUCGGAUACUUUGGAUUGAAGGAUUGAAGGUUGCCUCGAGACCAACUUGGCGAUCUGUGAAUUCUCGAAUCCAUGAGAUUUCAAGAAACCGAUAAUGGCUUCGUACUGCUGAAUGUGUUUUUCAUCGAAUCGGAGCUUUCGACCAUUGGAAGUAGGAGAUCCAGAAGACAGGCCACAUGAAUUAGUGAGGAAUUGGAUGGUAGAAACAGAGGGUGAAGGCAAUGUAGAAGUAGAAAUGGAAUUGAGAGAACGUUUAUGGAUGAAAUGAAGAAGAAAUGUGGAGGAAAUUUUGAACAUUUCGGGAUUUGAUUGAAGAAAUUCAAAUAAGGGUUUAGGUUUAGGGUUUUGAAUUUGAAGGCCACAAUUUUGGGCGUUUCUCUUAUAUAAUAUAAAAUAUUAGUAUUUCCAUAUUAUGUAAACUUUUGUAUAUAUAUUUAUAUGGGAAAUUGCAACAUUAAAAAAAAGUGGUAAAUUUAGCAAUAAUAAUUAGAGUUGUAACUACAUUUUAAAAAAAUUACAAAUAUAGCAAAACUAUCAUCGACAAAUUUUGCUAUAUUUAUAAAUUUUUUAAAAUUGUGUUAUAUACUUAAUUAAUUUGAAUUUAAUUGCUAAAUUUGCAACUAUCCUUGUUUAUAUCUUUUAGAUCGUUUAAUUUGAGUGAAAUUUUAUAGAUUGUGUGUGUUUUUUAAUUUGACCAAAACAAGUAAAGUUAAUGCAAAUUUGACGAUAAAAACACGUGAAGUCGUGACAAAUUUAUAUCUUCAAUUUCAAUUCGAAUACAUAUUAAUUUUCAAUUAAACUCAAAUUUAACUUUUAGUUAGUUUCAAAUUGUAUUUUUCAUAAUUAAAUUUUGUAAAUGACGUGAUGAUUUGUUAUCGGUAAAUUUUUUUUCUUUGGUUCGAGAUUUAUGAACGUAUGUGAGUGAAUGAAUCUUAAAUAAAUAAAUAUAAUAGUAAUUUUGUUUGAAUCAAUUUAACAUAUCAAACAUAGUAUGAUUUAAAUUUGGAAAUGAAGUUUAGAAUUAACCAAAUUUUAAUUUGAGAUAAAUUCAAGGUCUCAUUCCUAAUUUAAUUUGUAGCACAAAAAUUUGGAAUAUAGUCCAUUUUAAAAUUGAUAUGAAUAGAAUUUUUCAAUUUUAGGAUAAAGUUGAGAUUAUAGCUAAUUUGAGAUAAAAACUUAGAGUAUAUGUAAGUUAAUUUGAGUUGAAAUUUGAAUUUGGUGUACUUCUUUUAUCCAUUUUUUUUUCUUCUUUGCACCUCUCACCUCUUUUCGUUCCUUUUCUAUUUCUUUUUCUCUUUAAAGAAAAAAAGAAUUUCCAUUUUUUUUACCUCUUUUUUCUUAUUGCCUCUCUAUGUUUUUAUUUGUAUUUCUAGGUGUGUUGGGCAAGUCACCAUAUCAUUGAUGAUGGUUUGCAUAGAGAUAUCGAACAAAAAGUUUUGUGUUGGUUCAUAUGGAGAUUGAUCAUGUCAAGAUUUAGGUAACUCUAUCUUAUCAUUCCUUUUGACUAUUUACUAUUAUGUUAGAUUUUUUGUCCUUAAUUUUAAAUUAAUUAAUUAAUUAAUUAAUAUUUUGAUGAUAACAAAUUCAAUCUUUUAUUAAUAAAUUUAUUAUUUUGAAUAGUUAGCUUGGAACAAUUAUUCUUACGUCUCUUGAAUCACAAUUGAAAGAAGCUUAAUGAAAAAAUAACCGAGAUAUGAUGUGACAAACAAAUAAUCAACCAAGUAGAGAAAGUCACUUCGAGCAAUGGAAGAGUAAUACACGUGACUUUUGUUUUUUGAUUGAUUUUUAAAAAGAAAAUAAUUUAAUAUUAUUAUUUAUCUUUAUGUUUAACGACUAAUGAUAGUGAACUUGUUGUAUUAGGCUUUAAACAAAGUAUUUUUUAAAAAAUAUAUAUUAUUAUGUUAUUAUUGUGUUUGUAUUAAAUGCCUAAUUGAGUUUAAAUGUCAAUCAUUCAAAUUUUUUUUACUUACAUGACUCAAAAUGAUUUUGUAUUUUAGUAUCUUUCCCCUCUUUUGAAUACUCCAUUUCCCUCACACUUUUAAGAACUUUGUUUAACUUUACAAUCCUCAAAAUUUGCAAAAGCCACGGUUGUUAUUCCCUUUAAAACUUUCAAUUUUUGUUCUUGAAAGAGUUCUUAUUGUAUUGUGAAAAUUAAUUAUUGUAAGCGUAAAUUUAUAUACUCACUCUUUUUAGAGAGUUUUCUUUUGUCUGUUUUUAAAACUUUAACAUUUCAUGACUAAUUUGUAACAGUUCAACUCCAAGUGGAUGUAAGUCAAGUUUGACUAAUAGUAUCUUCUUUUCUAAUUAUUUUUUCAUUUAAUUUUAGAUGUAUAUUUUUUGUGGUUGAGUUUGAUUGCACACUCUAUUACGUAUUUUAAUCAAAUGAUAUGCAUACAUUUUUCAUAUAAGCUUUCCUCUUUUUGUGUGCCAUCUUCUUUCAUGUUAUGAUCAACCUGUUGGUUCUUUUUUUGCUAUUACAGCAUCUGUUUUGAAAGAAAAGCUUUCAUCCUUGUGUGCAUCUGGAAUAUUAGCUGACCAUGAACUUCAAGCGCAGCUGCAAGAACAUCAUCUGAAAGGGUGAGCUUAUGCAUUCUGUACUCGAUUGAAAGAAAAAGGGUAAAGAACACCCAAAAACCUUUGAUGAAAGCAAAGAAAAUGUCAUUGAGUAGUAUGCAAGAUCUUGUUGAAAGAAACCACCAAAUAGACAAAAACUUAAACUGAAGAAAGCUAAAAAAGCAAAGGUAGGGUGCAAUAUGUUAACUUUCUCAAUAAGAACCUUCUCAUGCAUGCCAACCUAAGUAAUUAGACUAAAACACAGCACCCAUUGUCUCAACCAAACAUAAAUUGUUUAGAGAUACUUAACCAAAAGCUCUUCAAUCUAGUUGAUGGUUGACCCAAAAUAAUCUGGAAUUCCAGAGUUAUCUGGAAUAAUUCAUUGUAUCCUCGUUUUUCAGAUACUUUGAUGGAAGGAUUGAUAUUUUCACCAUUCAUUAAACAUUGAGAUCGAGAACACUUUGAAGGAAAUGCAAUGUCACAUCCAUUUUCAAAAACUGCACCAAUUUUCUCUUCAUAUGACUCCUUGGAUGACCCUUUGGCUACCAAUUCUUGACUCAAUGAACCAAUCUCCUUCUUAUCUGUAGUCCCUUGUUGGACAUCCAACAAAAUAGAUUUGGCCCAUGCAAAGAUGACAUGCACAAAUCAAGAAUAAAUCAACAAAUUGGAAGAGGAUGGAACAGAUUCUGAAAUGAGGCAAUAUUGUGAGUGAAUUUUAAGGGUCAUGGACACAAGGUAUUUUUGCAAAUUUCGCUGCCGAGAGCAUGGUUCCCAAAGGUCCAGAAUGGAAACUGGGAAAUCAAAACUCCCACCAACUCGAAGGCUAGACCACAAUGGGAGCUAGUUAGCUGCAGAAGUGAUGCCGUUUAUAUGAAAACAGAUGAUGGUUCUAUACCUUCAAUUGUUGCUGAUCAUAUCGGUGUUUACCUUGGCUCAGUUAAAGGUAGAGGCAGUAUCGUUGAAGUAGUAAGUGAGGUCAGCCUGGUCAAGUCUUUUGCACCCGCUGGUGGAAAUGUUGAUGCCACUGCGCUUCAAACACCUUUAGCAAAAUCCAUUUCUAAUAAAUCUAAGGCAUCUUCUGAUGGUGGGUGAUUCAAAGGGAUAAUUUGAUGCGUCUGGAAACUCUAAUGAAAACAAAGUUCAGCCGCUGCAGAUGAACAGGCUAAUGCAGAAGAAAAGUUCAAGAAAACGUUGUAUGGUACUGCUAAUGAUGGUAGCAGUAGUGAUGAAGAGGAUGUUUCAAAAACUCGAAAGCUACACAUUAGAAUACUAGAUAAACCAGUUACAUCUCCCACAGUUGAUGUGAAAAAGAUUAAAAUUGGGAAAGAUUAAACGGUUCUGCCAACUUGACUCUGGAAAGCCGCCUCCACCUCAAGCAACUUCUGUGCGACCUGGACAGGUUCACAUAUCCUUUUUAAUCAACUGGUGUUUAAAUUAGCUUAAAAAUAAAUAAAAACUGGUGGUGAAAUGCUCAAUUAUCUGCAAUGCAUCAUUCCUCUCUCUAGCUGUAACAGUAACGUUUCAAUUGUUGUUUUAAUUCAUUUUUAUCAUUUUCAACCGGAAUUUCCUCAUCCAGCUUCCCCGUGGUGCUGCUGCUUCCAUAUGCUCUGUCUUGUUUCAGAUGACUGUGUUAGCGCAUCUAGAGCAGAAUCAUCUUUCAGAUGCUCUGUUUUCAUCUUGUUUAGAUGAAGCUUUUCUGGCACUUGCCAAAGACCAUUCUCGAGGAGCUAAUGAGAGAGCAGACAAAUGUAUAAGUGCCAGCUUAAAAAUGCCAAGCUUAGACAACUUUAUCAGCACCAAUCAGACUUGAUAUAAAACUCAAUCAAGAAAGCAGUCUAAUUGUUCUAGGAUAUUACUAUACAAACCUCACCUUCAAGUUGUUGGCAAUUUCCACCUGCCUUUCCUAUUUUCCUCUUGCCUUUUCCAUGUCUGGUAGAUCAGUCGAGUCAAUAAGAAUAGGUAAGAACAUUACUACCCAUUACAUUUGCAAUCAUUCUAUAAUUGUUUACUUUUUGAGAAAAAAUUGAAAAACAAGCCAAUUUCCAGGGUGUUAUAUUUAUGAAAAUUUCGUGAAAAUAAUAAGAUUGUUAUUUGGAAUAGCAAAAGAAAUAUGGGGAAAUGGAAAUGUAUUUGUAUUACAUCCCUUCCUUCAACUACAAUAUUUUAUUCAAUUCUCCUCUACCUUACAAACACAAAAGCAUAAGCUUUACCUACAACUUUCAUGUCUCUCAUCCCAUUUCAACCUCAUCGUUGGUUUCAAAAUUAGUCUACAGGCUUACAAAAGUUCAAGGAAUGACUAAAAGAUUAGGAAAGGAAAAAACAAGAAGGCCUCCAAUUUCAAGAUUAAAAUGUCUAUGAAGAAAUAUACACCAAAUAGAUUUACCCAACUAACUGCCUUAGUUUGGAUGCAAAAACAACACAACUCUCCCACCAGAAAACAGGGGGAGAGAUCUUGAAAAGCUCAAGAAGAAACAGUAGUCUUAAUAACAACAAAAAAGCUAUCCCCCUUUGAAGAUCAUGAUGCUCAAAUUUUGAACUUUAAGAACAUUAUUAACUUGCAACAUUGCCCCGGUAUAUGUCCAUCAGAUUUGGGAUUUCAUCCAAAUGCUUAACUACAUAUUUCUCCACAAAAAUUCUCUCCCCUUUCACAAAUACCGAAGCAAUCUUUUUGAUUUUAAGAAGAUCUUUCACCUUCAAAACCUCAAGAACUUUGUACCUCGGUUGGAGCCACUUGUCGACUGAAUACUUGAAUAACACAGGGUAAGAUAUUAGAGUUCCUGGAUCUAACUUUGCAGUGUUGGAACAGAAAUCUGCAACAUCCCUCAAUUUCUCCUCUGAACAUGUUAAAUAAAAUGGAAAUCUCUAAAAAAUCUCCUUCUCAGACCAUCCUAAACUCUCCAUAACAUUUAUUUUCUUCUUCCAAGUUGAAUCAUUCAUUGAAAGCCUUACAAAAAGUGCAUAAAUAAACAUGCGAGCCUUUGGUUCAAUGCCUAAUUCUUUAACCGUUUUCACUGCACCAAUCACUCUAUCAGCCUUUUGCAUAAAAGUUCUAGGGUUCAAUGUAAUCAUUUUCGUUAUAUUCCUAGAAGGUACUCCUUCACUGGCCAAAACAUCAGCGCUAGAUUUAAAAUUACCCUUCAAAUCACAAAUCAGAAGCCUUGGAGAACGACAAAUAGCAGCAGUUACUUGUUCAUCCGAUUCUAGAAUUUCCUUCAUGAAAAAAAAUGAUGGUUUCAACUGAGAAACUAAGCUGCUGCCAAGAACCCAUGGUGUUGAUAAAAUUAACUUUAAAAGUAAAGGACCGACGA
rnacentral:lncRNA from 1 species